rnacentral:ncRNA from 1 species
ACGCUAGGGGUGCAAUUGCUGAGAUCUUUUCCUGACGGGAGAGGACCCUCAAUACCUGAUCCGGACAAUACCGGCGAAGGGAAGCGGAGCUG